UGUGGAACCAGUCAUGACAGAUACUCAACUGUCUUCGAAAGGCAUGGAUCCAGUGGGAGUGAAUUCAAUAGAGACUGCAGCUCUAGGGAGACCCUUCCAGCUGGGGAUGCUGUAUGACCUCAGGAGAGAUGCUCUCGUACCAGGAAUCAGACUUUGGAGUAAUGAGCAG